rnacentral:rRNA from 1 species
AGCGAACGCUGGCGGCAGGCCUAAUACAUGCAAGUCGAGCGCACCUUCGGGUGAGCGGCGGACGGGUGAGUAACGCGUGGGAAUAUGCCCUUUGGUACGGAACAACUGAGGGAAACUUCAGCUAAUACCGUAUGUGCCCUUCGGGGGAAAGGAUUUAUCGCCAUUGGAGUAGCCCGCGUUGGAUUAGCUAGUUGGUAGGGUAAAGGCCUACCAAGGCUACGAUCCAUAGCUGGUCUGAGAGGAUGAUCAGCCACAUUGGGCUGAGACACGGCCCAAAACUCCUACGGGAGGCAGCAGUAGGGAAUCUUGCGC